GUCAACUGCACCGGUACAUACAGAAAUUGUUGCCCAAGAUUUGGCACGGUUCUCUCCUGACAAAUUCAGCAUUUCAUUGGGAAGAACAAGAAUUCAAAUCCUGAUAUAAUCAGGCUGUUCAGAUAAGGUGUGUAAUCCACCUCUGUUGCUUGAAAAUAAGAUGCUACUCAUGUCUGGGUAAGUAGGUCAAAUUCAUCUCUUUAUGAUCACUGACAAUGUCUUCAUGGCCCUGGUUGUACUCCUGUCAGCUGUAAUGCACACGUGGAAGCACUCAAGGUGACAUUAAAGAUAGAUGGGAUAAUCACUGCAGCCUGCUGCUGCACUGAGAUGUGGUGCUGAUGCCCCAGGUUUAGCUUUUGUAUUUCUCAGAUUCUGCGCUGCUUUAGUGUGUGGGUUUGGGCUUCAUAUUAGGGGAUAGUAAGCUCUCUUCACACAAUGGGUAAACAAAACAAGUCCUUCUCUAGCUGGGGCCCCAAGGACAGCCAAUCCAGAUCUCAGGCCCAAGAUCAUAAACAAUGCUGGACUGAAGGGAGAAAAACAAGAAGGAUGGCACUUCAUGGGCUGGAGCUGUAAUUGGACAAUUAGCUCCAAUAUGAUACCAAAACUUAUAAAAGUGUGAGACCCCAUGACCAGUUGUCCAUUUUGUCACCAUUUUGGGUUCACCUGGGUUGUAGCCCUGGCUGGGCUCUUGUGCUGCCCAAGGUGGAUCCAUUGAGGCCUCCUAAUAAAUACCUGCUUUAUUCUUUAGCUCUGUCUAGUCUCUGUUCUAGGUCAGCCUUCACAAGGCACCAGUGCCACGGCCUUUUCAGGGCAGGUUAGCUUGCAGUGGGCACACAAGGCAUCGUCACCAUUCCUGUCUUUGAUCUCAGGUGUGAAUGAGUAAGUAUUGAGACUGAACUGUCUGUCUGCCCAAGGUUCCUCCUUAUCCUGGAGAUAAGGAAAGCUUGCUUUGCUCUAAAUCAGAGUUUUCCAUCUUCAGGAAAAUCAGUGCAAUGCCUUGCAAAACAAAGAAGAGCUCUGUGGAAGCACAUGAAGUAAAUGGACUUCAUAAAAGUACAGGAAAUGUGACAGGCAUACACAGCAAUGCAGAUGAUUUUUCUGCUGGAUGUAUCAGGAUAAUGUGGCUGGAAAGAUGCAUGAAAAAUCCAUGUCACAUCCAGGUGAGAUUUUAUGCUCUCAUGCAGGACAAACUAAUCAGUUAUGAUACUGAAAUACUGUAUUAAUAUUUCUAUUAAUAUUCAAAAUUAAGCAGAUUUGCUUAGAUAUUAGUGUGCAAAUGAAUUGCUUAGCCAAGGUUUAAGCAAAGCAAGUUUUCCUGCAAAAUAUGUUUUUUCAUCCACUUUGCCUUGUCUUGUUUUAUUGUGAAAUGGCAAAAGAAUGUGGUUCAAAAGUAAAAUCAAUAAUCAAAUUGUGCAAGCAUCAAGUUAUCCAGUGAUAUUUUGCACUAAAUGCUUAAUUUGAUCUGUCUACAGUGUUGGCUUAGUUGCUCAUACUGAAACCAAACAUCCAGCAAUACAACAGAUGGUGUAAAAAUACUAGUUUUCUUAAAAACUUCUUAUAGUCAACAAGAAGUCAUGAAGUUCAAUCCAGCCUCCUGUAAACAAGAUGCAUUUGUGGAUGGAAAUUCCAUUAAAAUAAGAUAAACAAAUAUGCAAGUCUUGAGCAGGAAGUUGGAGACCACUGUUGGGGGCAGGGGAAAGAGUGAAAGCAGUACAUUAAUUCCCUUAAUUCGAAGCAGUGUCUUGAAACAGUGUUUUCUGUGCAUCCUCUGAGGCCGCUGACACUGCAGCCCAGUGAGACCUUUCAGAUACUGCUUCUACAUUGCUCUGGAAUGGGUGUACUUCAGGAAAAUUUGUAAUUAGAAAUUUUUACUGCUGCUUAAUUUUUUCACUUUUUUGUUUUUUUUUUUUAAUAGUUAGAUAAUUUUAUAGUCCCAUUUUAAUUCAUUAGUAGAUUUUUAAAGAUCUUAAGACAUUGCUGAGAAUAGUCCACUAUUCCUUUAGUUCAAGCCACUGGUAGUUAAACUAUGAGAGAGCACAGGAAUCAUACAGACCAACAUAUUACUUUCUGCAAUUAAUAAGCAGGUUGGUGAAAAAGCACUUCAGAACACUGUGAUUUUGGCUUUAUGGAUAAUUAUUUACAUACUGUGUAUUUUGGGACAUAUAUUGUCUAUGAUAACAUUGACUCAUUGCAUUGAGAAACCUCUUGCAAAUGGCUUAUCUUAAAAUACAGAAUAUAUGAUAAAGGAAAGUCAGGUGGAGAUAGACAAUAUAAUGCCAGAAAGAAACACCUAACUGGGCAAUGUCAGUUGUGAAGUCUGAUGGCACAAUUUUUGUAGAAAAAUGUAAAACUACUAAUUAAGAGGAAAGGAAGAUUAAAAUGUUAAAAUUUUCCAAUGAAAAUCUUUUUCAGACUGUUGAGGAAGUUGCUGAUCUUGGUGCACUGCAGAGACAUCAGUGAAGCAGCCCACAGACAGCAAUAUUUCAUUACUGACAGAAAAAAGGAUUGCUGGAGAAGAAAAUGGGAUAAUUUUAAUUUUCCAGAUAUCCAAUCCUUUUGAGGAGACCAUGACAUUAAUACAAGCAUUGUGACUUUACCAUGGCUGAAUGCCAAGCCAAGACUUUCUGAAACCAAUUACUGACCAUCUCCUUUUGCUGAUCAUGUUCAUGAAUAAAAGGUUAGCAGAUUAUGUGGUAUAAUAUUCU
rnacentral:lncRNA from 1 species